CGCUUUCACGUUCUCUGUUGUGUCGUCUCAAUGUGUAUGUCUAUUUCUGUUCUUUCUUCUCUCUUGUUUCAGAACUCAUGUUUGUUUGUUGUCUCCUUUUUCUAUUUUGUGUAAUCAUCAAAUUUGAUUGAUUUUUGUUAAGUGAAAGAAAGACGUUGUUGAAAUGGAGUGUGGCAAAAUGAUAAUGAAAUGGAGGAUCAAAUGCGAUGUCGAUAAGCUUUACUCGAAGAAUUUCUUCACUGGAAACUAUUUGGAUGAUUCUUAUCUUUCCAAAUGGCAACAAUUUAUCAUGUUUUUUGGUUGCUGGGGAUCUCUCUAAUUUGCAUCAAAUCUGGAGCAAAUUUGAAUAUUUCAAGGUGGCCGUUAUUGAUCAAAUUAAUGGCCAAAAGACAAUAACUGAAGAAUAUGAACACAGGUUCACUGCAAAUAAGCCUGAUUGGCAUUGGGGUUGUGAGAGGUUCAUAAGUUUAUCUAAACUUCGUAACACCUAUGGGUUAAUCAAGAAUAGUACUUGUAUUUUUCAAGCUGAGAUUGCUGUUAGAAGUCAGGCAGAUCAAGUAGGUACCAAACCUGGUGCUAGUGUUGAGCCUGUUAAAAAUGUUUUGCUAAUCCUUUACCCAAGGAAUUCUCUGUGGCAUCAUCAGGUGGUGAGCUUGUGGAUUUCAAGAGUUUUGGGAAAAUUGAAGAAGCUUUUGUUCCACUGUUGGAGGAAGUUUGCUCAUGGCAUCCCUCACUAAUUGACUGCCAGCGGAAGAGAAAGAGAAGUCGCAGUUUCACAGAAUGGGCAUUCACAGCUUUGGGUCGAGUUUUUCAUUUUCUUAAGAACAAAAAGGUGAAAGAUAUGAAUGAGGAAGCUUGUAGUCAUCUCCGGUUUUUAUGGGAGGAACUUGAGACUUUUAAAUUUGACUUGACUUGGCUGCAACCUCAUAUUCAAUCUGCCUUAAGUAUGAAAAGUUAUGUAGAGAAGCUGUGCAGCUCAAAACGUUAAAGGAGAAUGUGGCAACUCUAGACAUGGAAUUCAAAUCGGUCGAGGAGAAGCUAUUUUCCGCAAAGGUAGAUCUUGAAAUAGCAAUACGAGAUUUGUCAAAAGAAGGUUUCCAAGAGAGGGAUUUGGAUGCUGAACUGGGAUAUGGAGGAGGACCUUAAAGAGUUUCGGUCAUACGUCGCUAAUAUCUCGUGUUUUUGUGACUAGAUGAAUAUGGAUGUAGGUGUUGAUGGCUCUGUUGACUGAAAUCAUUUUUUAUUUUAAUUUUAUGUCAAUUUAUUAGACCACUGCCAGUUUCUAUGGAAAAUAUAUGAACUUUUUUUCUGGAAUUGAUGCACUUAUAUCUAUAAUUGCUUGACAAUUGGUUUCUGCAUUGCUAUAAUUUGUUUUGCAGGGUCAUUUUGCUCUGAUUUCUUAAGAAAAGAAUAAGAGCGAAGUUGACAUAGUACAACUCCCUAAUUCAAACAAUGGAAUGUCAUACUGGUUGAAGUUUCAUCUAUCAAACUUUUUGUUUGAGAAAGGGGAAGAUGAGAUUAAUUAUGUGAUCAAAAUGAAAGAGAUCUAUGGCUUGAAAGUAGAGAAACAUAGGCCUAUCUGUGUAUUAAUAUCAUUACUCUUUGUUUAGGCUUAAAUUAAUCUUUUAAAUUAAUGCCUAAAAGUAACUGUUCUGAGGAUGAGUGAUAAAUAAAUUAAGAUUUCAAAGUCGCUAAUGUCUUUUAGGUUUGUUUUAAAUCUGAUAGUCGUAUGUAGCUCCUGCAAUGGAUAUUGUUUUUUUUUUUUUUAAAUAAUGUGAGGGUGUCCUACAAGACCAUGAGGGCAAUUUCCUUGUUGGUUUUUCAACCAUGUUGGGCAAUUGUUCCAUUAACCAUGCAGAACUUUGGGGAAUUUAUCAUGGUGCUAAGCUAGCUUUAACAAGAGGCUUCGGCAAGGUCAUUGUGGAAUCGAAUUCUGAUUUUGCAAUUAGACUUAUAGACAAGGGCUGAUUUACUGCUAAGGCUUCUACUUUUCUGGUUAAGAAUAUUAAGAGGCUCUUCGGGAACUUUGAGCAAAUUCUUUUGUAGCAGAGUUUAGAGAGGCAAAGUCAAUUGAGGCUCUACAUCAUAUUCUGUCUUCACAUUCAAAGUUCUUUUGUUCCCUACAACACCUACAAAAACUGUAUGGGUUUAAAGAUUGGAUGGCAUGAAAAAAACAUUGCAAAAAAAAAAAGAAAAUCCUAUUCCGUUUUCUAUAACUCCAAGAACCCCCAACAGUGCAUAAUUAGUAUCUUAUGCUAUGCACUGUUUUUGUUAGUUAAUAGACCAGCUGCUUCAGUAAUACUCCUUAUACUCUGGGUUUUUUUAUCGAGCUGAAUGGCAUUGUCUGAUCCAUAUAGCCGAGCUCACUUAGUGGGAUAAAGAUUUUGUUGUUGUUGUUGUUGUUGUUGUUGUUUUCUAUAGAUCAGCUGCUUCAGUCACAUGAAGGGUUUGAGAAUCAGCUGAAGGAAUUGGAAAAGCAACAUGAGGGCUGAAGCGCGACAAUGGUGGGAUCCGGGGCAACAGAGCAGUUGUUCUUGUCCUUGGAGAUAAGUUUUGCUGCGCCAGAAUUAAGAACUGAAGCUCUGCAGAAUUGGCUGUCUUGAAGAAGAUCUACUUGCUCUCCGAAAAAAUCACCAGCAUGUUGCCUAGUUUUGGUAUUUCAGUUCAAGCUAUCUUUGAUCCAAGUUGUUGGGACAAUCUGGACAAGGGUGGAUCAGAGGUUGAAUCAUCAUCGCCAUUAUUAGAGUCCUCCUUGCUCGCGUCGGCUAACUCUUCGGUUAGUGUGCUGGGAACUCUCGGUUUCAUCGUUUGGAGGUAACUUGUUGGCCUCUAAAGAACUACCUCGAGAGAGAAGAUCCUGCUUCGUUUUGGCUGCGUCAUCUUCUUCAUCUGGGUUUUUUCUAGAUACAAGAAAAAGACAUUUAACAUUCCGAAAGGAUUUUAUCUUCUAGAUGUAAUGAACAUGACUAUUGGCUGUUUCACUACACAUUGUGUCUUGGAUCAAGUUAUAGCAGCUAUCUUUAACUCUCUAUCCAAAGUAAACUAGCGUGAGAUAGUAAAGAGUGUGGAUGUAUGAAGUAUGCAACUCUAGAAGUUUAAUUUUCUCUUCCUAUCAUGUAAAAGGUGAAUUAAAGUCUGCAUUAGAUUGAA